GAUGAACGCUGGCGGCGUGCCUAAUACAUGCAAGUCGAGCGAACAGACGAGGAGCUUGCUCCUCUGACGUUAGCGGCGGACGGGUGAGUAACAAGUGGCUAACCUACCUAUAAGACUGGGAUAACUUCGGGAAACCGGAGCUAAUACCGGAUAAUAUAUUGAACCGCAUGGUUCAAUAGUCAAAGACGGUUUUGCUGUCACUUAUCGAUGGAUCCGCGUCGCAUUAGCUAGUUGGGAAGGUAACGGCUUACCAAGGCAACGAUGCUUAGCCGACCUGAGAGGGUGAUCGGCCACACUGGAACUGGAACACGGUCCAGACUCCUACGGGAGGCAGCAGUAGGGAAUCUUCCGCAAUGGGCGAAAGCCUGACGGAACAACGGCGCGUGAGUGAGGAAGGUCUUCGGAUCGUAAAACUCUGUUAUUAGGGAAGAACAAAUGUGUAAGUAACUAUGCACGUCUUGACGGUACCUAGUCAGAAAGCCAGGGCUAACUACGUG
rnacentral:rRNA from 1 species